rnacentral:rRNA from 1 species
AAAUUGAAGAGUUUGAUCAUGGCUCAGAUUGAACGCUGGCGGCAGGCCUAACACAUGCAAGUCGAACGGUAACAGGAAACAGCUUGCUGUUUCGCUGACGAGUGGCGGACGGGUGAGUAAUGUCUGGGAAACUGCCUGAUGGAGGGGGAUAACUACUGGAAACGGUAGCUAAUACCGCAUAACGUCGCAAGACCAAAGAGGGGGACCUUCGGGCCUCUUGCCAUCGGAUGUGCCCAGAUGGGAUUAGCUAGUAGGUGGGGUAACGGCUCACCUAGGCGACGAUCCCUAGCUGGUCUGAGAGGAUGACCAGCCACACUGGAACUGAGACACGGUCCAGACUCCUACGGGAGGCAGCAGUGGGGAAUAUUGCACAAUGGGCGCAAGCCUGAUGCAGCCAUGCCGCGUGUAUGAAGAAGGCCUUCGGGUUGUAAAGUACUUUCAGCGGGGAGGAAGG